AGAAGUUUUACAUAAAGCAUUCUUCUCAUUUCGUUCAUGACGUCAGACGUCUGCUGUCACAGACACCUCAAUAAAAUAACGACUUUUGCUGUUUAAUUCAAUGCCCAGACUUUUCUGGCUGGCUCUUCCACCAGCAUCAUCACUACGGAACAUACAAUUAGUUAGACAGAUGCGCGGGCAGAUAUGGGUAAACUUGUCUGCCAUUCAAGCGGCCCCACGAGUGCUGAUAGGAAGGAGAGUCAUCUGAUGCGAAUGCAGCUAGUCAGUCAGUCAAGGAGGCCAGCAUGCUUACAGCACAACCAUCCCUACUACUGCUCCAUUACAUAUUAUACCGUUUUUAUAUUCGGGUACGUAUGCUUGUAGCACUCGCAUUGCAGUAAUAUGAUUCACUUCAUUUGAGAAGCUCAUUUGACGGCGCUUAGCAACAAUGUUGAUGCGACGACUACCGAAGUGGUGGGAAUAAAAAUAUGUGCUAAUAAAAUUUUAGCUUAAUUUGGAAAUUUAAUUUGACAUAUAAAAAAUAAAAUAAAAAACAAUAAUGAUAUAAUAUAGUAUAUACAAAUAUAAUAAAAUAAAGUGAAAAAGGGUAACAUAAAUAGAAUAAAGUAUAGUAAUCAAAUACUUUAGAUAUGCAAGUGAUAACAGAAAGUGGUAUCAAAAAAGACAACAUAAUGUUAGUUACAAAUAUUUAGGAAUUGUAUGGUAAUUAAAAAACUUUGUCAGGUAAAUAAAAUUAUGAAUCUUUCUAUAAUUGGUU